rnacentral:sRNA from 1 species
GCUGGGCACAGUAGUGCAUGCCUGUAAUCCCUGUGGCUCGGGAGGCUGAGACAGGAGGAUUGGGAGUUCAAAGCCAGCUCAGCAAAAAGCAUCUCAGUGAGACCCUGUCUCUA